rnacentral:tRNA from 1 species
GGAUCCUUAGCUCAGUGGAUAGAGCGCUGCCCUCCGAAGGCAGAGGUCGCGUGUUCGAGUCACGCAGGGUCCGCCA